GCCGUGUGAACUGCAGGACACAUGAACAUCGACACUUUGAAUGCAUAUUGCGGAAUUGAGCUUGUCUCAAUUCCAUACCCGGCUCAGGGUCGGUUAAUCAGACAUCAGACAGCUUGCUGUCUGCACAGAGCCUUCGCUUUGCCCUGGCACAGCGUGGCUUCAUGGUUUGUCGUGCGGAUUUCACCGACGUCGACUCUUGGGAGAAAUCCUGGGUGGUUGUCGGUGGCCGUGUGUGCAUGGUGCAGGGACUGUAGUUCUCGUCUCGUAAGCACCUACCUUUUAAUUUUCGACCUGAGAUUGGGUAAGGCUACCCGCCGAAUUUAAGCAUAUUAAUAAGCGGAGGAAAAGAAAACAACUGUGAUUCCCUUAGUAAUGGCGAAUGAAACGGGAAUAGCCCAUCGCGGAACUGCAGGUCAUCUUGGCCUCGCGGAAUGUCGCGUUUGGGAGAGUCUUAUCGAGAGCUGGACGGCCAGUCAAAGUCCAACUUGACUGUGGCCA
rnacentral:rRNA from 1 species